rnacentral:lncRNA from 1 species
AUGUCACUGCAGAAGAGGCAGAUGGGGAGCUUCCACCUUCCAAUGGCAUACAGAUUUCUAGAAAGAACUAUUACAACCCUACCACUCUCCUCUUUCUUUUUCUUUUCUUUUUUUUUUUUUUUUUGUCUUUGUAGGGUCACAGCCAAGGCAUAUGGAGCUUCCCAGGCUAGGGGUCAAAUGGGAGCUGUAGCUGCCCGGCUACACCACAGCCACAGCAACUUGGGAUCUGAGCCUUGUCUGUGACCUACGCCACAGCUCAUGGCAAUGCUGGAUCUUUAACCCACAGAGCGAGGCCAGGGAUCAAACCUGCGUCCUCAUGGACACUAGUCAGGUUCGUUUCUGCUGAUUCAUGACGGGAACUCCCACAACCUUUUCACUCUCCUUUUCUUCUCAUCUCAUCAUGUUUCUUUCUGGUUUGUCGGAAUGGUAGUCAGCUGUCAGCAAGCAUGAAAAGGCCGCCGUGCUGGUGGGAAGGCCCCAGUAUCUGUGUGGGGGAAUAUCUUAUCUACUACCAUCAGUAGGAACGGGCAGUGAAAGCCCGGCUGAGGGGCUAAGAAGAGCUUUUCUGUAGUCAUGUUGGUCCCAAGAGCAGAUCCUACAUUUCCAAAGCUUGGGGGCUUGCCUCCUGGAGGCUUGGUUGGCCAGACAGUGGGGUAAAAUGCCCAGCUCAGCUGCUGAGCCAGGCCAGACCCCCCAUCCCACCCCAGGCCAAAUCUCCUUACCGUCAGGGACCUGCACUGGGGAUGCCAAGUAGACCUCCAGGGAAUGGAAACCCAACCCCACUCAACUCCCAGUGGUGAAGCCCCAGAGAAGCCAAAAUAUGGCAGAGUCAUCAUGCCACAGACUGGUCCCCGGAUGAUGUGAAAGUCAUCCCAAAUAGGGGCAGGUGACCCAGCCUGGUUGGGAGCCCAGCGCCCCAGUGCCUGCUGUCGUAAACAUCUUCACUGUGAGGGCCGGCGACACUGGCAUCUCCCAGCCUGGGAAGAAGCCUUGUCAGCAGAACCUGGUCAGGCAAAGGAAGGUGGUGUAUGUGUGUUGGGG